rnacentral:rRNA from 1 species
GAUGAACGCUGGCGGCGUGCCUAAUACAUGCAAGUCGAGCGAACAGACGAGGAGCUUGCUCCUCUGACGUUAGCGGCGGACGGGUGAGUAGCACGUGGAUAACCUACCUAUAAGACUGGGAUAACUUCGGGAAACCGGAGCUAAUACCGGAUAAUAUAUUGAACCGCAUGGUUCAAUAGUGAAAGACGGUUUUGCUGUCACUUAUAGAUGGAUCCGCGCCGCAUUAGCUAGUUGGUAAGGUAACGGCUUACCAAGGCAACGAUGCGUAGCCGACCUGAGAGGGUGAUCGGCCACACUGGAACUGAGACACGGUCCAGACUCCUACGGGAGGCAGCAGUAGGGAAUCUUCCGCAAUGGGCGAAAGCUUGACGGAGCAACGCCGCGUGAGUGAUGAAGGUCUUCGGAUCGUAAAACUCUGUUAUUAGGGAAGAACAAAUGUGUAAGUAACUAUGCACGUCUUGACGGUACCUAAUCAGAAAGCCACGGCUAACUACGUG